UAAAGAAAAAACAACUACAACAAUCCUUUCAAGAUGGACCGAAAUGCGAUUAAAUUUUAGCCUUCUCAUGAUCCUGCUGAGUAUGAAAGAAAUGGUGGCGUAAUCAAAGACAAAGCUCGCAGCUGCAAAACUUAACCGAAAGCGCAGCGUUUGCCAAACUCAACAUGUUGAGUGCUCUACAUACAAAUUCGUAUUCCCAUCGUUACAGCCGCCAUCUUUGAAACGUAUACGUUAAUCAAUGAGUAAAUAGAGGGUAUGUGUGUGUGUGUGUGUGUGUGAGCUUUUUUGCUGAUAAGACACUUAUGUCUGUAUUUAUUUAAGUGUUUUAUUUUGUUAUUCACAUCUAAAUAUAUUUUUA